GAGGGUAUAGCUGGGUGGUAGAGAGCAUGCUUAGCAUGCAUGAAGUCCUGGGUUCAAACCCCAGUGCCUCCA
rnacentral:tRNA from 1 species